GGCCGGGCCCGUUGCACGGGUGGUUGCAUGAACCGGGUCAGGCCUUGAUCGGAGCAGCCCUAAGUGUUUUUCGCCCGGUGCCGCCGGUGUCCUGGCCGUC
rnacentral:SRP_RNA from 1 species